UACGAGGGGGGCUAGCGUUGUUCGGAAUUACUGGGCGUAAAGCGCACGUAGGCGGACAUUUAAGUCAGGGGUGAAAUCCCAGAGCUCAACUCUGGAACUGCCUUUGAUACUGGGUGUCUUGAGUAUGGAAGAGGUGAGUGGAAUUCCGAGUGUAGAGGUGAAAUUCGUAGAUAUUCGGAGGAACACCAGUGGCGAAGGCGGCUCACUGGUCCAUUACUGACGCUGAGGUGCGAAAGCGUGGGGAGCAAACAGG
rnacentral:rRNA from 1 species